rnacentral:rRNA from 1 species
UACAGAGGUCUCAAGCGUUGUUCGGAUUCAUUGGGCGUAAAGGGUGCGUAGGCGGCGCGGUAAGUCGGGUGUGAAAUCUCGGAGCUUAACUCCGAAACUGCAUUCGAUACUGCCGUGCUUGAGGACUGGAGAGGAGACUGGAAUUUACGGUGUAGCGGUGAAAUGCGUAGAUAUCGUAAGGAAGACCAGUGGCGAAGGCGGGUCUCUGGGCCGAUACUGAC